UACAGAGGGGGCAAGCGUUAUUCGGAAUUAUUGGGCGUAAAGGGCGCGUAGGCGGCUUGGCAAGUGGAAGGUGAAAUCCCUCGGCUCAACUGAGGAACUGCCCUCCAAACUGCUUUGCUUGAGGCCGGGAGAGGUAAGUGGAAUUCCCAGUGUAGCGGUGAAAUGCGUAGAUAUUGGGAGGAACACCAGUGGCGAAGGCGGCUUACUGGACCGGUUCUGACGCUGAGGCGCGAAAGCGUGGGGAGCGAACAGG
rnacentral:rRNA from 1 species